rnacentral:rRNA from 1 species
GAUGAACGCUGGCGGCGUGCCUAAUACAUGCCAGUCGAGCGAACAGACGAGGAGCUUGCUCCUUCGACGUUAGCGGCGGACGGGUGAGUAACACGUAGGUAACCUACCUAUAAGACUGGGAUAACUUCGGGAAACCGGAGCUAAUACCGGAUAAUAUUUCGAACCGCAUGGUUCGAUAGUGAAAGAUGGCUUUGCUAUCACUUAUAGAUGGACCUGCGCCGUAUUAGCUAGUUGGUAAGGUAACGGCUUACCAAGGCAACGAUACGUAGCCGACCUGAGAGGGUGAUCGGCCACACUGGAACUGAGACACGGACCAGACUCCUACGGGAGGCAGCAGUAGGGAAUCUUCCGCAAUGGGCGAAAGCCUGACGGAGCAACGCCGCGUGAGUGAUGAAGGUCUUCGGAUCGCAAAACUCUGUUAUUAGGGAAGAACAAACGUGUAAGUAACUGUGCACGUCUUGACGGUACCUAAGCAGAAAGCCACGGCUAACUACGU